AGUGAACGCUGGCGGCGUGCCUAAUACAUGCAAGUCGAACGAUGAAGUCCUAGCUUGCUAGGAUGGAUUAGUGGCGCACGGGUGAGUAAUAUAUAGUUAAUCUGCCCUACACAGAGGAACAACAGUUGGAAACGACUGCUAAUACCUCAUACUCCUAUUUGACAUAAGUUAACUAGGGAAAGUCUUUUCGGUGUAGGAUGAGACUAUAUCGUAUCAGCUAGUUGGUAAGGUAAUGGCUUACCAAGGCUAUGACGCGUAACUGGUCUGAGAGGAUGAUCAGUCACAUUGGAACUGAGACACGGUCCAAACUCCUACGGGAGGCAGCAGUAAGGAAUAUUGCGCAAUGGGGGAAACCCUGACGAAGCAACGCCGCGUGGAGGACGACACUUUUCGGAGCGUAAACUCCUUUUAUCAGGAAAGAAUAAUGACGGUACCUGAUGAAUAAGCACCGGCUAACUCCGUG
rnacentral:rRNA from 1 species